UUUCAACAAUGCCACAGUUGCUGUUAAACUUGAUUACUUCCUGCUUUUUUCAUAGAGAAUUCCUCUUGGUAAACAAUUUUUCUGCCCCAGUUUCGACCACCAAAAUUUUGUUAGAUUAAGAAUGAUGGUUAGUUGAUGGCAUUCUUUGCUGCGUCAUCCUUUCAUUGCCUUGCUUUGUGUUUCCUGAUUUCCUCUGAGCUGCCUGACUUUCUGACCGACUUUCACAUUCCCCAAUUUCUGACAACUUGAAUGCUUUUGUACUCCCGAUAUUGUUUCACCUUUCCGACUCUUUUUCCUGAACCUUCACAUUUCCCACAAUAUUUCCCAGAUAUUCUACCUAUGAAACUUCCGGCGUCUUCCCCUAUUUCUCUUUACAUCAUAUUGUUGCUGACAUGCUCUGGCCACAUUAUGCUUUACCUUUUCUGGAAGCUGGUAGUGGGCUUUGAAUUCCUUUUCCCUUUUCAUUGAACAGAACUGACAUUGAAACAUUUUAGACAAUCAAUAAACCCAAAAGAGAAUGAAAUGCAAUAAUUUUAUGAGUACUUUAUCUGCUGGAACAGCUAGCACCAAUGAUCAUGACAUGCAUUUCGGACUAACCGGCUAAAACAACCCAUCUAACCAGCUUUUAGUUGCCAUACCUCAUUGCCCAGAACUUCCAAUCACUUGACUAUUUU
rnacentral:lncRNA from 1 species